rnacentral:rRNA from 1 species
UACGGGGGGGCAAGCGUUGUUCGGAAUUACUGGGCGUAAAGGGCUCGUAGGCGGCCAACUAAGUCAUACGUGAAAUCCCUCGGCUUAACCGGGGAACUGCGUCUGAUACUGGAUGGCUUGAGAUUGGGAGAGGGAUGCGGAAUUCCAGGUGUAGCGGUGAAAUGCGUAGAUAUCUGGAGGAACACCGGUGGCGAAGGCGGCAUCCUGGACCAACACUGACGCUGAGGAGCGAAAGCCAGGGGAGCAAACGGGG